rnacentral:rRNA from 1 species
AGUGAACGCUGGCGGUAGGCCUAACACAUGCAAGUCGAACGGCAGCACAGUAAGAGCUUGCUCUUACGGGUGGCGAGUGGCGGACGGGUGAGGAAUACAUCGGAAUCUACUUUUUCGUGGGGGAUAACGUAGGGAAACUUACGCUAAUACCGCAUACGACCUACGGGUGAAAGCAGGGGAUCUUCGGACCUUGCGCGAUUGAAUGAGCCGAUGUCGGCUUAGCUAGUUGGCGGGGUAAAGGCCCACCAAGGCGACGAUCCGUAGCUGGUCUGAGAGGAUGAUCAGCCACACUGGAACUGAGACACGGUCCAGACUCCUACGGGAGGCAGCAGUGGGGAAUAUUGGACAAUGGGCGCAAGCCUGAUCCAGCCAUACCGCGUGGGUGAAGAAGGCCUUCGGGUUGUAAAGCCCUUUUGUUGGGAAAGAAAAACAGCAGGUUAAUACCCCGCUGUUCUGACGGUACCCAAAGAAUAAGCACCGGCUAACUUCGUG